UCCUACGGGAGGCAGCAGUGGGGAAUUUUGGACAAUGGGGGCAAGCCUGAUCCAGCAAUGCCGCGUGAGUGAAGAAGGCCUUCGGGUUGUAAAGCUCUUUUGUCAGGGAAGAAAAGGUUUUGGAUAAUAUCUGUGGCUCAUGACGGUACCUGAAGAAUAAGCACCGGCUAACUACGUGCCAGCAGCCGCGGUAAUACGUAGGGUGCAAGCGUUAAUCGGAAUUACUGGGCGUAAAGCGUGCGCAGGCGGUUUUGUAAGUCUGUCGUGAAAUCCCCGGGCUCAACCUGGGAAUGGCGAUGGUGACUGCAAGGCUAGAGUUUGGCAGAGGGGGGUAGAAUUCCACGUGUAGCAGUGAAAUGCGUAGAUAUGUGGAGGAACACCGAUGGCGAAGGCAGCCCCCUGGGUCAAAACUGACGCUCAUGCACGAAAGCGUGGGGAGCAAACAGGAUUAGAUACCCUGGUAGUCCACGCCCUAAACGAUGUCUACUAGUUGUCGGGUCUUAAUUGACUGGUAACGCAGCUACGCGUGAAGU
rnacentral:rRNA from 1 species